AAUUGCAUCGGUGAUGGAGCUCACCAUUAAACUCCUGCAAAGGAUAAUGGCUCCUGCGAAUAG
rnacentral:ncRNA from 2 species